GACAGAGGUGCCAAGCGUUAGGCGGAAUCACUGGGCUUAAAGCGUGUGUAGGCGGAUUUGUAAGUACCUUGUGAAAUCCCACGGCUCACCCGUGGAACUGCUGGGUAUACUGCGAGUCUUGAGCCACUUAGGGGCUGUCGGAACAGGCGGUGGAGCGGUGAAAUGCGUAGAUAUCGCCUGGAACGCCAAAGGUGAAAACAGACAGCUGGGAGUGUGCUGACGCUGAGACACAAAAGCCAGGGGAGCGAACGGG
rnacentral:rRNA from 1 species